rnacentral:rRNA from 1 species
GGUUAAGCGACUAAGCGUACACGGUGGAUGCCCUGGCAGUCAGAGGCGAUGAAGGACGUGCUAAUCUGCGAAAAGCGUCGGUAAGGUGAUAUGAACCGUUAUAACCGGCGAUGUCCGAAUGGGGAAACCCAGUGUGAUUCGUCACACUAUCGUUAACUGAAUACAUAGGUUAACGAGGCGAACCGGGGGAACUGAAACAUCUAAGUACCCCGAGGAAAAGAAAUCAACCGAGAUUCCCCCAGUAGCGGCGAGCGAACGGGGAGCAGCCCAGAGUCUGAAUCAGCUUGUGUGUUAGUGGAACGGUCUGGAAAGUCCGACGGUACAGGGUGAUAGUCCCGUACACCAAAAUGCACAGGCUGUGAACUCGAAGAGUAGGGCGGGACACGUGGUAUCCUGUCUGAAUAUGGGGGGACCAUCCUCCAAGGCUAAAUACUCCUGACUGACCGAUAGUGAACCAGUACCGUGAGGGAAAGGCGAAAAGAACCCCGGCGAGGGGAGUGAAAAAGAACCUGAAACCGUGUACGUACAAGCAGUGGGAGCACCUUCGGGUGUGACUGCGUACCUUUUGUAUAAUGGGUCAGCGACUUAUAUUCUGUAGCAAGGUUAACCGUAUAGGGGAGCCGCAGGGAAACCGAGUCUUAACUGGGCGUUAAGUUGCAGGGUAUAGACCCGAAACCCGGUGAUCUAGCCAUGGGCAGGUUGAAGGUUGGGUAACACUAACUGGAGGACCGAACCGACUAAUGUUGAAAAAUUAGCGGAUGACUUGUGGCUGGGGGUGAAAGGCCAAUCAAACCGGGAGAUAGCUGGUUCUCCCCGAAAGCUAUUUAGGUAGCGCCUCGUGAAUUCAUCUUCGGGGGUAGAGCACUGUUUCGGCUAGGGGGUCAUCCCGACUUACCAACCCGAUGCAAACUACGAAUACCGAAGAAUGUUAUCACGGGAGACACACGGCGGGUGCUAACGUCCGUCGUGAAGAGGGAAACAACCCAGACCGCCAGCUAAGGUCCCAAAGUCAUGGUUAAGUGGGAAACGAUGUGGGAAGGCACAGACAGCCAGGAUGUUGGCUUAGAAGCAGCCAUCAUUUAAAGAAAGCGUAAUAGCUCACUGGUCGAGUCGGCCUGCGCGGAAGAUGUAACGGGGCUAAACCAUGCACCGAAGCUGCGGCAGCGACACUAUGUGUUGUUGGGUAGGGGAGCGUUCUGUAAGCCUGCGAAGGUGACCUGUGAGGGUUGCUGGAGGUAUCAGAAGUGCGAAUGCUGACAUAAGUAACGAUAAAGCGGGUGAAAAGCCCGCUCGCCGGAAGACCAAGGGUUCCUGUCCAACGUUAAUCGGGGCAGGGUGAGUCGACCCCUAAGGCGAGGCCGAAAGGCGUAGUCGAUGGGAAACAGGUUAAUAUUCCUGUACUUGGUGUUACUGCGAAGGGGGGACGGAGAAGGCUAUGUUAGCCGGGCGACGGUUGUCCCGGUUUAAGCAUGUAGGCUGAUUAUCCAGGCAAAUCCGGAUAAUCAAGGCUGAGGUGUGAUGACGAGGCACUACGGUGCUGAAGUAACAAAUGCCCUGCUUCCAGGAAAAGCCUCUAAGCAUCAGGUAACAUCAAAUCGUACCCCAAACCGACACAGGUGGUCAGGUAGAGAAUACCAAGGCGCUUGAGAGAACUCGGGUGAAGGAACUAGGCAAAAUGGUGCCGUAACUUCGGGAGAAGGCACGCUGGUGUGUAGGUGAAGUCCCUGCGGAUGGAGCUGAGACCAGUCGAAGAUACCAGCUGGCUGCAACUGUUUAUUAAAAACACAGCACUGUGCAAACACGAAAGUGGACGUAUACGGUGUGACGCCUGCCCGGUGCCGGAAGGUUAAUUGAUGGGGUUAUCCGUAAGGAGAAGCUCUUGAUCGAAGCCCCGGUAAACGGCGGCCGUAACUAUAACGGUCCUAAGGUAGCGAAAUUCCUUGUCGGGUAAGUUCCGACCUGCACGAAUGGCGUAAUGAUGGCCAGGCUGUCUCCACCCGAGACUCAGUGAAAUUGAACUCGCUGUGAAGAUGCAGUGUACCCGCGGCAAGACGGAAAGACCCCGUGAACCUUUACUAUAGCUUGACACUGAACAUUGAGCCUUGAUGUGUAGGAUAGGUGGGAGGCUUUGAAGCGUGGACGCCAGUCUGCGUGGAGCCAACCUUGAAAUACCACCCUUUAAUGUUUGAUGUUCUAACGUUGGCCCCUGACCGGGGUUGCGGACAGUGUCUGGUGGGUAGUUUGACUGGGGCGGUCUCCUCCCAAAGCGUAACGGAGGAGCACGAAGGUUAGCUAAUCCUGGUCGGACAUCAGGAGGUUAGUGCAAUGGCAUAAGCUAGCUUGACUGCGAGCGUGACGGCGCGAGCAGGUGCGAAAGCAGGUCAUAGUGAUCCGGUGGUUCUGAAUGGAAGGGCCAUCGCUCAACGGAUAAAAGGUACUCCGGGGAUAACAGGCUGAUACCGCCCAAGAGUUCAUAUCGACGGCGGUGUUUGGCACCUCGAUGUCGGCUCAUCACAUCCUGGGGCUGAAGUAGGUCCCAAGGGUAUGGCUGUUCGCCAUUUAAAGUGGUACGCGAGCUGGGUUUAGAACGUCGUGAGACAGUUCGGUCCCUAUCUGCCGUGGGCGCUGGAGAAUUGAGGGGGGCUGCUCCUAGUACGAGAGGACCGGAGUGGACGCAUCACUGGUGUUCGGGUUGUCAUGCCAAUGGCACUGCCCGGUAGCUAAAUGCGGAAGAGAUAAGUGCUGAAAGCAUCUAAGCACGAAACUUGCCCCGAGAUGAGUUCUCCCUGAGACUAUAAGUCUCCUGAAGGAACGUUAAAGACGAUGACGUUGAUAGGCCGGGUGUGUAAGCGCAGCGAUGCGUUGAGCUAACCGGUACUAAUGAACCGUGAGGCUUAACCUU